UCGCACGAGAAAGGGAGCAAUCCUGAGUAAAGUGGCGUACGGGUGAGUAACACGUGGAUUAUCUACCUUUUAGUGGGGAAUACCUCCGGGAAACUGGAGACAAUACCGCAUAAGCCUGUAAAGGGAAAGCAGCAAUGCGCUGAAAGAGGAGUCCGCGGCUGAUUAUGCUAGUUGGCGGGGUAAUGGCCCACCAAGGCGAAGAUCGGUAGCCGGCCUGAGAGGGCUCACGGCCACACUGGCACUGAAACACGGGCCAGACUCCUACGGGAGGCAGCAGUGGGGAAUCUUGCACAAUGGAGGAAACUCUGAUGCAGCGACGCCGCGUGAGCGAUGAAGCCCCUCGGGGUGUAAAGCUCUUUCGACGGGAAAGAUAAUGACGGUACCCGAAGAAGAAGCUGCGGCUAACUACGUGCCAGCAGCCGCGGUAAUACGUAGGCAGCAAGCGUUGUUCGGAAUUACUGGGCGUAAAGAGUGUGUAGGCGGUGCUCUAAGUCUGUUGUGAAAUCUCCCGGCUUAACUGGGAGGGUGCAGCGGAAACUGGUGUGCUCGAGGGUGGGAGAGGAAAGCGGAAUUCCUGGUGUAGCGGUGAAAUGCGUAGAUAUCAGGAGGAACACCUGUGGUGUAGACAGCUUUCUGGACCACUUCUGACGCUGAGACACGAAAGCGUGGGUAGCAAACAGGAUUAGAUACCCUGGUAGUCCACGCCCUAAACGAUGCAUACUUGGUGUGAGCCAUUCAUUUGGUUCGUGCC
rnacentral:rRNA from 1 species